UACGUAGGGGGCAAGCGUUGUCCGGAUUUAUUGGGCGUAAAGAGCGUGUAGGCGGUCAGGUAGGUCCGUUGUGAAAACUCGAGGCUCAACCUCGAGACGCCGAUGGAAACCAUCUGACUAGAGUCCGGAAGAGGAGAGUGGAAUUCCUGGUGUAGCGGUGAAAUGCGUAGAUAUCGUAAGGAAGGCCAGUGGCGAAGGCGGGUCUCUGGACAGUUACUGACACUGAGGCACGAAGGCCAGGGGAGCAAACGGG
rnacentral:rRNA from 1 species